rnacentral:rRNA from 1 species
UACGUAGGGGGCAAGCGUUGUCCGGAAUCAUUGGGCGUAAAGAGCGCGUAGGCGGCCCUGUAAGUCCGCUGUGAAAGUCAAGGGCUCAACCCUUGGAUGCCGGUGGAUACUGCAGGGCUAGAGUCCGGAAGAGGCGAGUGGAAUUCCUGGUGUAGCGGUGAAAUGCGCAGAUAUCAGGAGGAACACCGAUGGCGAAGGCAGCUCGCUGGGACGGUACUGACGCUGAGGCGCGAAAGCUAGGGUAGCGAACGGG